CACCACCACUACACCCACAAUCAAAUAAUGCUCCUCUAGUACUACGUUAGUCACCAGAGGAACCAAGUCCAAAGCUUCCUGCUCAGAACCACACAGUUCAACCACUACCACCAGCAAGUUGGUCCAGGAUGAAGACUGUUAUACCUCCACUAGCAUCUGUCAACUCUGUUCUCCGGACAAAGCCAAGGUAUCCGGUCCUGGCCCAAAGACUGUUUGUAUCUCCAAAGCUGAGCCUGGUGUUGAAAUGGUCAGCCUGCAGACUCUCACUGUCAUAAAUUGUGUAAUAUCCACUGGCUGUGUGCGGACUGUUCACCCAUAUCUAUGAAAAUACAAAAUAAUGUAUAAAGAAAUAAAAGAUCACAAGCUUCACAUAUAAAGCAAUAGUAAAAAUAAAAAAAUGUUCAUACAUGAAAGAACAAUCUUGUUAAACGUGGUGCAUGGCAAAAUGUAUAUUAAACAUGUUAGAAUCAAUACUAAAAA